rnacentral:rRNA from 1 species
GACGAACGCUGGCGGCGUGCCUAAUACAUGCAAGUUGAGCGAUGAAGAUUGGUGCUUGCACCAAUUUGAAGAGCAGCGAACGGGUGAGUAACGCGUGGGGAAUCUGCCUUUGAGCGGGGGACAACAUUUGGAAACGAAUGCUAAUACCGCAUAACAACUUUAAACAUAAGUUUUAAGUUUGAAAGAUGCAAUUGCAUCACUCAAAGAUGAUCCCGCGUUGUAUUAGCUAGUUGGUGAGGUAAAGGCUCACCAAGGCGAUGAUACAUAGCCGACCUGAGAGGGUGAUCGGCCACAUUGGGACUGAGACACGGCCCAAACUCCUACGGGAGGCAGCAGUAGGGCAUCUUCGGCAAUGGACGAAAGUCUGACCGAGCAACGCCGCGUGAGUGAAGAAGGUUUUCGGAUCGUAAAACUCUGUUGGUAGAGAAGAACGUUGGUGAGAGUGGAAAGCUCAUCAAGUGACGGUAACUACCCAGAAAGGGACGGCUAACUACGUG